GAGGGUAUAGCUCAGUGGUAGAGUUUGUGCUUAGCAUGCACAAGGUCCUGGGUUCAAUCCUCAGUACCUCCA
rnacentral:tRNA from 1 species